AUGCGGAAAAAUUGGGAAGAGGUUGGGGGGGACGGGGAGGGAGGAAAAAAGGCAGAAGUAAAAAAAAUAAAAAUUAAAAAAAAAAAACGAGGGUGGGAGGAACCGAGCCUUCUCCGGGUGCACGAGGGAGCGGGAGGGGAUAACCGCGAGCAGCGGGCUCCGCGCCGCGCCGCAGCUAGCGAGGUGCUUGCGGCCGCAGCAGCCGGCGGGGAGGCGCGGCCGCGGCGCUCAGCGGGGCUCAGCCCGGCAGCGGGCGGCGCGCAUUCACCGGGCGUCCCGCGCGGAGCCCCCGGCACGGCAUGCACCGGGCGCCGCGGGGUGGUGGCGGCGCGGAGCGGGGCGCGGAGCGAGGUCUUCCCGCGAGCUGAGGGGUCCCGGCGCGGUGCGAGCGGGCCGGCGGCGGGGAGAGGGGCGAGGAGCUGCGGUGCGUCUCAGCAGAAAGUUUGUGCCUUCCUUCCCCGCUCGAAUGCCAAACCAACAAUGAGGGAAAAAAAAAAAAAUAAUAAAAUAAAAAGAAGGGGGGUGGGGGGGGGGAAGAAAAAGGAGGGGGGAAGGGGGAAGGGAGCAAAACCCCUGAGGAGUUUGUUCGCUGCGCUGGUGGAGUUGGGGAGCCUGUUCUGCAGCACAGUGUGUCUUGAAGGAGACUUUGUGGAGUGGUUUUCUCGUCCUUCCUGUUCCUGGGCGGUGGAUGCACCAAGGGCUGAGCAACAGCAAAGGCGGAAAAAAAAAAAAAAAAACAAGGGGAGGGAAACAGAAGGGGAAGGAAAAAAAAAAAAAGCGCGGCCAAUCCAAGAAAUAUUGCGGCGUGGAAACCAAGGAGAUGGAAAUAAAAACUGUUUUAUGAGAGGGCGUGGAAAAAAGCGAAGCCCCGGAGAAGUGCAGAAGCAGGGCCGAGCCGGGCGCUCCGGCGCGGGGGCUCCGGCUGCCGCCUCCCGGAGCGCAGCGGUGAUAGCGCAGAGUCCGGUCCCGGGAACAUCAACUUCUGCGGAAGGACGGCACCGUGAGCGGCGCGGGGGAGAGAGAAGCGCCCGCCCCUCCGAGGAUUACAUACGGAGAUCGGGGAAAAGACGCGGCUCCGCGCGGUCCUGCCCGCAGCUGCUGCCCGACGCCCUCCGAAGCAGCAGCAGCAGCAAGGAGAAAAACGCACCGCGCCGGCAGGCAAAUAAAUAA
rnacentral:lncRNA from 1 species